UGGGGAAUUUUGGACAAUGGGCGAAAGCCUGAUCCAGCAAUGCCGCGUGAGUGAAGAAGGCCUUCGGGUUGUAAAGCUCUUUUGUCAGGGAAGAAACGGUGGGUUCUAAUACAGCCUGCUAAUGACGGUACCUGAAGAAUAAGCACCGGCUAACUACGUGCCAGCAGCCGCGGUAAUACGUAGGGUGCAAGCGUUAAUCGGAAUUACUGGGCGUAAAGCGUGCGCAGGCGGUUUUGUAAGUCUGUCGUGAAAUCCCCGGGCUCAACCUGGGAAUGGCGAUGGAGACUGCAAGGCUAGAGUUUGGCAGAGGGGGGUAGAAUUCCACGUGUAGCAGUGAAAUGCGUAGAUAUGUGGAGGAACACCGAUGGCGAAGGCAGCCCCCUGGGUCAAGACUGACGCUCAUGCACGAAAGCGUGGGGAGCAAACAGGAUUAGAUACCCAAGUAGUCCCUGAGCGGGCUGGCAAGGCGCAU
rnacentral:rRNA from 1 species